AGGUUUAUUUGAGUCCAUGAUUAAAGGCCUUAGGGAUGAAACGAUCUCAACCUAUUCUCAAACUUUAAAUGGGUAAGAAGCCUGGAUCACUGGUGUGGACCCAGGCUGCAGUUUUAU
rnacentral:ncRNA from 1 species